CUAUGUAGACAGUCUUAAUUAGUUUAUAAUUAAUGGAAGAAUCAUAUUUAAGGGGUAUGGUGGGCAUAUAGGUGUAUGUUUUUGUGUGUUAAAACUCUUGUGGGUAGGCACAGAGUUUGUGCUAAUUGGGAGUGGGGCUGAGGCCAAGCUUCAUCCCCAAUGGGCCACAGCUGUGAGAAGCAGGUGACCAGCAUUGAAGGUAAUGAGCCAUGGAGUGCCCAGGUGCACUGACCAAUCACCGAAGGGAGAAGAAGGCACACAGGUGCAAUGCAUUGACCAUGAGGGUAAUAAAAGGCUGGGCUAAAGAGCAAGAAGGGCAGAUGCUUGAAGCCUUCUGAAGUGGUAUGGUGUCACUUUGUAUAUCAUGGCCAUCUCAACUGAAGCACAUGCUGUGACACACGGACACCUCAGCGUGACUUAGGAUUGAGCUGUAGGGUGAGGUACAGCUCGAGACAGAGCCCAGCAUCACAUUGAGAGAGUGAGGAGAUGCUGCCUGCUCUGGACCAGACUGAUUUUGACACCUGGAGUACAGGUGUGGCUGCAUCUUGGUGGGCGAGAUGAACAUAGAAAAUGAGGAAGGUCUUUGGAAGCUGAGCUGCUGGGAAUAGCCUAACUUCUGGGAGGAAAUCAGGACAUCUGAUGCUGGCUGUACCAGAGGGGUGAAGGUUCUUCAAAUGGAGUCUCUGACCUUCAGGGAGAAAAGGGGAAGAAAGAGUCACCUGCCAGCACAGCUUCCAGCAUAUGCCACAGCCACACAAAAGCUGCUCCUAAUGCCCUCUGAUCUGAAAACACUGCAGCAGGAAAUCUCCUCUGGAGACUUGUUUGACAGAAGGAGGUUCCUGGGUUCUUGGCUUUUGACCCUGAUGCUGGAAGCUGCUGGCUGUGAUUAGGAGGAGCCUGCAGUCAGAAAUGUGGCUGAUUUGUGCUACAGAUCUCAGAGACUGACAAACACAGAUCAGCUCCCCCUUGGAGAAUAUGGAGUACAAAACCUGCACUGCGGGGAACUCGAUUUGGCAGUGCAGCUGAGCUCUAAAGUCUUUACCUGCUCUCUCACUUGUAUAUUUUCUUUGAGUAGAAAAGUGGAUUUGGAAACUCUUGGAAAUGAAAACACAUGGAAACCAAUUGUCUUGCUGCAGAACAGAGUGUUUCAGAACAAGCCUUGUUUGGGGAACUCUUUGCAGGAUGUUUGCAGCCCUCAGGAGGAUGCUGGGGAACCAUGCCUACUCCUGGAAACCAUUAUCCUGAGAGAUUUUGAAGUGGCAGCUGAGGCUCUUCUUGAAUGCAUCAGCCCGCCCACCAGAGCUACCCACAGACCCUGUGAGGAGCAUUUCACUGCCUCAGGCUGAUGGAUGAGGAAGCUCUGGAUCUUUCCUGCUGGAGUUUGACCUUCCAGGAUGGAGUCCUGUGCUGCUGAGGGAUGGACCUGCCCAGAUGGCCACCACUGGGAACUGGGACUCCCCACUGCUGGGUGUGGCAUUCACAUCCUCUGAUAAAAUCCCUUUGCCCACAAUUUUUCUCCUGGGAAGCUGAGAUGUCUCAGAGAAAAGGAAAACAAUUCUCAUCUCAUUUGCUUCUCCUGUGUUGUGCUCAUGUGGAAUGUGUUUGGAGAUUGUUUACCCACAGAUUAGUGUGUGUGAGGUCACUGGAUUAAUGCUUCACAUCCCCUGCUGUCCUCAGGGAAUAGAAGUUGCAUCCUCAAAUCCGAUUAUUUACUGAACUGACUGGGCUGGAGCCAAUGCUUUGGGAAAGCUGAGUUUUGGUUACCCUGUGUCCUCUGCACCUGCAUCAGCCAGCCCAGGCAGCACAUCCUGCAGCCCAGGAGGGCACUGGCAUUCCAGGGGUUUUAUAAAUCAGUCUGGUGUAUUUCUAAUGAUGCUGAUGAGAUCACAGAGAAAAUAAUUUUGAUUGGAGGGUGCACCAGGGGAUAAAUGUGUGCUGGACAGAAAUUUUAACUCAACUGUUGGAACUUGUUAGAGAAAUGUAUUCACAAUAAAAACAGAGUUCACUGAAGAGCAGCUUGAGAGCUUUAUCCCAUGUGAAAAUUGGAGCAUUUGAACAGAGAUGGAAUCUGGCAUAAAAUACUCCUAAGGAACCUUCUUUGUCUGGACUUGGUGGUGUGUUCCCAAAGUGGACAGGCAGCAUUCCCCAUGUUAUUUCACAGAAUUCCAUAGCUUUUCCAAUAAUAUUUGAAGAAUUUUCUCUGUGAUUGGUAGAAGGUAGAGGUGGCUGUGGUUUUUCCUCCCUCCUCAUUAAGAAGAGAGAAUUGGAAGAACAUUCAUCAGCUGUGAGUCAUGGCAUAAUAGAAUCAUACCAGAGUCUGUGGAAUCCUACAGAAGUUAUUGAAAAAUUGGUAAAGUGACUAAUCUGCAGUUGUGGAUUUGAGGAAUUAAGGCUUCCAAGGCCUGCCCUGAUGCCCAUGGCAGCCAGCAGAAGGAUGCUUGCCAUGAAGCAGCAGAAGGAAUCUCUGGAGGAGAUUCCCACAACACCUAGGCUCACUUGAGUUGUCCUGCUUGUGUAUGAGGUCAACCUGCUUGUGCCAGGUUGACCUCAUUUUGCUUGAAAGAAAUUUAGGCUGCCUGAAGCUAUGGACAUGAGAGUGAUCUGAUGGUACUUGCAGGAGAAGCCACAUUAAAAUGAGCAGUUACAUAAAAUCAAAACAGACUUGGAAGAGCUCAGGGGUUUCUCUUUUCAGACAACUUUCUGAGGAAGGAUUUGACUAUGAGAAUAUUGAACUCACUUGGAAAACUUUGGAUUCCUGUGAGCAGGAGGGUGUCAGCUGUGCUGGAUGUCUCAGGGUGGAGCAGUGUUAACAAGGGAAAACAAAAACAAAGGAAGAUUUCUUGAAGAAAACUAAUAAAAAGUAGCCUUGAGCAAAAAUCUGGAGGAGGAAAUCUUCCUUGGAGGCUUGGGGUGGAUUUGGCAGGAGCGGCUCAGAGUCGCAGAUGGGAAUUAUCCAGCAGAACCUGCCUCACGGUCCUCAGGAAAUCAAAGCAGCCUGACAAAUGUCUGGCUGCACACCCCAGAACGACGCUCAGGAAUGUUCUACCAACAUCUGCUCCUGCUUCUGUGGCUGUGGCAGGAGACAGGCAAACAGAACGUGUGCCAGGGAGCCAGCGAAUCCCACUUGGAGCUCCCUCGUGUGCGCAGGACAAAGGGAGGGAAGGAAGCCCAAGAUGGAAACCAAUUUCUAAAAUCCAACUUAAAAAUGCAAGUGAUGACUGAAAAUGUCCAAAGUGUCCUUCCCCAGCUCAUGGUGUGGCUGGACAGGAGGUCACUUUGUCCAGGAACCUUUUUCAGAACCCUUGGCCACUCAGAGAGGAGCAGAGGCUGAGUUUCCAAGCUGAAAUUGCAAUUGGUGGCAAGAGUGAACUCCAGGUAUCAGAGACCUCACAGCCAUCUAAAUGAGCCAGAGACAAAUCCUAACACCAAACACAGCCAUGAAAUCUACUUCUGAGCAAAAAUAAUUCAUGAUUAAAUAUUGUUAUAGGACACAAAAUAAAACUACAUGAACGCUGGAACUUCCAAGGUAAAAAGAAGGGAAGUUUAUUUCCUGACUCCAACAUUUAUAGACUUGCAGAAGUGACAGUGGAUUGGAGGAUGAAAGUGCCACCUCUCCAAUGACACUGGACAAACCAAGAGUCCAUCAAAUUUCUCCUCUUCCAGAAAAGAAUGUAAAACAAUAAUUAUUUACAUAAAAGUGCAUAAGAAAGUUCAUUACAAAAAUGUAAACAUCAAAAGGCUUAGAAGAACUUAAAAGAUCGUGACAAUUAAAGGCAUAUUUUCAUUAUUUGAAGGGAAAACCACACAUAAUAUAAACUCUUCCUAACGAGUAAAUGGGUAAUUUUAAACAAGGAAGUACAGACUGCAUCUUUUAAAGCUCCAUCCUCUGCCAUGUGUGGAAUAAUUGUUGACUCCAAUUUGAAGAACACGCCUGUGCUGCACUCUCAGUUCAGCCGUGGAGAUGCCAUCCCUUGCAUACCAAGCUCAGCAUUGUUUAUGCUCUGGCUUUUUUUCUGUUGUAAUGAGAACAAUUAUGGGUGAAAGCAUUUUGCUGAUGAUGAAGUGCAUAUUGGCUGUGGGUUUAUGCUGUGUUCUGGAUUUAAGCUCUGCUUAAGAGUCAGUCCAGCACAGAAGACUCUGAAGAUCUGAGGGGUUUUCACUGCAGAGAAGUGACAUGAUCUCCAGCAGAAUGAAUUUCCUGGUUUUACUUUGGCCCUGACCAGAAAGGAUUUCAUUUCCUGAGGAUGAUCACUUCUAUUGAUUGGCAGCCUGUUGUCCCAGAGGCAGCACCACCAUUUGUAAGUGCCCAGCCUUGGCCAGGCACACAUCCACAUCUGGAGCUCCAGGGAUUGGCUCUGCUGGACAUGGAAAAAGCUUCUGGGAGCCCCCCUGGGACCCCCAGGAUCUGUUCAAGAGCCUGGAGUGUCAUUGAGAUAAAACUCAUGGAGCUGCUGCUGUUCUGGGUCCCCUCUUGCUCUGUCUCUGAAAUCUGAGUGUGGUUUCAGCUCCUCUUUGGUCAGGCAGUGCCUCAGCUCCAGAGGCCUCUCACUUGCACUUCAUCCCUCAGUGCUCUCAUACCUUCCAGGAUGGGCUCUCAGCUCCUUGCAGGAGUAAACCAGGAAAGCUCCUGCCUUCUCCUGCAGUGCCAGAGCCUGGUGCCAGCGUGGUUCUGUCUGUGCUCCCAUUUCUGAUUUCACAGUAAAAGUGAGACCAUCAAAGCAAUGAAAGGGCAUCAAACACUCAAAAAAGGAACAACCUCCUCCAGGAGCUAUUUUUCAGCUGUUGGUUCCAGUGGGAUUGCUGUGCACCCAGAAGGUUUGGGAGGGAGGUGAAGAUCAUCAGAGGUCAGGACAGCUUCCAGACAAGGACCCAACCUUAGCAGGACUCUGCAGUGUUGGAAGGAGCUGUUUGGAUUUCUGCUGUUUCUGCUGAAUGCAAACAGGCACCUCAGAAAGGCCAUGGCAGGUGUCUGGCAAUCAGUCCCUGGGAUUACACAGGAAUGCUAACAAGGAGAAACAAAUUAAGAGCUUGAAUUCGUGGAUGUGAAAAAUCAGAAAAAGAUGCAAAUCCUGUUAUCCUGAGGCUGGAGGAGCUCUGCAUCAAAGUGAAAGGCUACGACAAGACUUGUUGCUUGAUGAUGGAAACUGCUUCAUGGUGCUCGAACCAGCAGAAUUAUUCCACCCUGCACCCCUGCAGUCAGAAAGACAAAACAGACCUAAAAUUAAGAUGUCACCAACAGAAUUGUCUCAUUUGCUUUGGCAAACAGCUUUUCAUUUAAUAGAGGAAUAAUGGUGCUGAAAACAAAAUGAACUCUAAAGCUGCAGCCUGUUUAAGAGUUGCACUGAGCACAGGGAUCCACUCAGUGAGCCCUUGGAGAAGUUUUGGAUUUUCAGAAGUAAAAAAUCAGACUUCUUGCUUGAUGCAAGUGAAUACAGAAGGGCUUUGGGUACUCCAGAAGGUCCAGCUGCCCUCAUUUGCUGAUUAAAAGUCAGAGACUAAAGACAAGGUCAUUAAAUGAAAUUUCUCCUGACUUUCUAUCUCAAGCCUUUGGAGGAAAUGAUCUCUAUUUAAAGGUCAUUGAAAGGGGUCACUCAGUUGCCCACCUUCAGACAACCUGUCCCUCUGUGAGUCAUCCUGCACAGCAAACACCUGGAGCAGCCACAGCCUCGUCCUUUACAGUGGGAGUGGAUGAUGGAGCCAAGGCAGAUGCAACACUAGAGGAAGAGGGGAAAAAAACCAACUCAUCUGCCAAAUAUAGGCAAGACAUCCCACAAAAUGCAUAGAAAUGAGGGUGAUUUUCCUGUGCUUGAUCAAAGAGUUGAAUUAAUUUGUGUCAGAAGUUGGAUUCCAGAAAGCACUUAUUAAAACACUUAGAGAAACACACCUGAAACUUAAAAAGCAGAGUAGGAGGAUGAGUUUUGAUGGUGUCUCACCCUGAAGCUGGCCUUGGACAGGCCCCAUGAGGUCAUGGAGUGUGGCCUUGGAUAAAUCCCUAAAUCCCUGUGUUGGUGUGCCCAGCAGUGAGGCUGCAGUGUCUCCCACAGAAGCACACAACUACAACUCCCCAGGAAAUGCUGCUGUGGGGUCUGAAACUGGCCAGGUGCUUUUCCCUUCCUUAAGGAACUGGUGAUUCAUUGUUGGCCUGCUCACACUGCAGGAUGGAGCUCUGCUGGGGCCUGUGGAAGGACACAAGUUUGUCUUGGCUCUGUAAAACCCCCCCAAGCCAGCACAGUUUUCACAGCCAUUAUCUGAGGGGGAAACCUGCUCACCAGGUGCUUUGGAGUAUUGUAGAGAGUUUGACUCGGUUGUUUCCUACAGAUUUCUACAAGAAAACAGAGAAAAAACCCAGCAUGUGUGAGGUCCUGGUUCUGACAUCUUUCUUUUCUACUCCACAUAUGAGAAGAAGAAAUCUGGAGCAGCUGCUGCAAUUACUGGAAUUGGUUACUGCCUGCAGUGAAACCCUCACAUUCCAGGUCAGGCAACUUGACAAGUGCCUGGUGAAAAUGUUGCCUGUGAUGGGUACUCCCCCAAGAAAACACAGGGACAAGUAUGGCUUCUGAAAGAACAUGGCAACAGAAGGAGUGUAACAAAUGAAUCCUGAUCUUCCCUGUCAGAAGCCAUUUGUACCUGCUUUGGAACAUUUCAGGCUGAAGAGUUUCUGCCCGCUGAGACUGGCCCAGGCUAAUCACAUUCCACGCAGAGGAAUUUGGAUUUGCAUCAGAAAGCAGCACUCCUCUAUCUGUUUCAAACACUAAGCCCCAAAGAAGAGGUUGAGAUGUCUCUUCCAGAGAAGCAGAUUCUGAAAUAUCUCCCUUGUAAAUUUUGGCUUCGCUGAGCAAGUGCACGGGUAAAAGAGAGAAUGUUUCUCCAUGGUGUUGUCAUAAAACAAGCCACCAUCCCACGUGUGUCCGAGUUCCCACAGGCACCAGUGACAACAGGCAAAGCUCUGCUGCUCGGGUGCUCCUCUUCCUGGUGCCACCAUGGAACAGAGAAGUUGCAGAGAGCCAAGGAACCAGGCCCAGGCCCUGGGGAGAGCCAGGAAUAAUCCUCCUUUUGUAAGGAAACCUCCAGAGAGACUGAAUAAAGUGAUUCCAUCUGGUACUGGAAGAGAAGGAUGCUGCAGUCAGGAACUCCUGGAAGUGAGCUUGGAACUGCUUUUGUCCAGGAGCUUGGAAAAGAUGAGAUUCACAGAAGAUACACCAAAAAAUGUGCUCUGAAGACUCAGGAUUACAGGGAGCAUCCAUCCCAGAAGAAAAUAUUACUGAUGGAAAAAAUUUUCUUUUAAUAAUAACAGCAACCAUUUGCUUUUUUUCCUCAACACACCACCAUGCUGUGUAAUAACACGUGGUCUUCCCACACCUGGGAAGGAGAGGGGAAGCCCAGCAGGGACACCUCCCACUGUCCCAGGCUGCUCCAAGCCCUGUCCAGCCUGGCCUUGGGCACUGCCAGGGAUCCAGGGGCAGCCCCAGCUGCUCUGGGCACCCUGUGCCAGGGCCUGCCCACCCUGCCAGGGAACAAUUCCUUCCCAGUAUCCCAUCCAUCCCUGCCCUCUGGCACUGGGAAGCCAUUCUCUGUGUCCUGUCCCUCCAUCCCUUUUCCCCAGUCCCUCUCCAGCUCUCCUGGAGCCCCUGGAAGUGGCUCUGAGCUCUCCCUGGAGCCUUCUCCUCUCCAGGUGAGCACCCCCAGCUCUCCCAGCCUGGCUCCAGCCCUGGAGCAGCUCUGUGUCUCUGCUGUGCUCCAGCCCCACCAGUGCCUGUUCCUGCCUUGCUACCAGCUUUGAGAAAUCACUUCCGUAUGGAAUUGAUUAUUCUGGGCUUGGAUUUGGAUUGAUCACUGACUGUGGGGCAGCUGCACAGCUGCUCUGAUCAGCCCCAAGAAAUACAGCUUGCUAGAGUUUAGACUUUGGAGGGUUUUAUCCCAAAAGAUUUAAUUUAUUCACCAAGCAAGUAAUGCAUGGCUGGUAAGUAAAAAAGUAAAAACUUCUGAUUUACAGUGCACUGUCCAGUAGUCUCAGUGGUCUCAUGUUGCACCAGGAAAGAGUCAGUUUGGAUAUCAGGCAAAAUUUCUUCACUGAAGAAAUGAAAGAAAGAGUGAAACACCCCCCUACCUAAAAGAUAAAAAACCAUCAAACCAACAAUCUCUCUUAAUUUUUAUCAACCAUCCUGUCAUCAGCAUUUAGUUUUUCACUGUGGAAUCCUUUCCUCCUUCCCUCUUAGAAUUUAAAUUGGUUUGUCUCUACACAGAGUAGCCCUUUUUCACCUUCAUUUUUUCCUAUUUAAAUAAAUACAGCAGUUGUUGGAAUUUUCUUUUAUUUGGUUUGAUGCAAUUGAGCUGGAGGCUGGAGUUCUGAAUUAUCAAAACCAUAGAAUCUGACUCAACAGGAGAAGAAGACUGAGAUACAUUAGGAAGGGUUAUGUGUGUUUUCACUGUUGGUCUCAAAUCCAGGCCUCUGUCUGGGAUACCCUGGGAGCUGGUGCUCUAAAAUAUCUGGAUGUCACACAGAUCCUUAGUGUUGUGCUUUCUUUUCCAGUUUUCUUCUUCUCUGUUCUGGAUUUGACCCUACAGUGAACACUGCAAUGGGAAGGGAGAGAGCCUGUGGCCUGUCAGGUGAAGAACCAUGGGAAGUGUCAAGUGUGUGAGGAAAGUGCUCCAAGAUGCCUCUCCUCAUUACAGCAGCAGGGCUGGCACUUGUCUCCUCUAAUUAAUCAGCAGCUCACUGGUGAGGGAGUGCCCUUCCUCCUCUUCCUCCAGGUGAGACUGGAACCCCUCCAAAAUCCCAAGUCCUGCUUUGUGCUUGAGCCCAGGUGAGCUCCUGGCUGCCGGAGGCUGUAACCCCUCACACCUCCUGCCUGCUCCCACUGCCCAUGGCAGGCUUGGCUGCAGCCUCUCCCUCUGCUCAGCCUGUCCUGCAGCCCCUGUUGGGGUGUGCCUGGGGUUAUCCCACACCUUUCCCUGCUCAGGGCACAGUCUGCUUUUUGUCAAGGUAAAGCCAGUGCCUUCCUCUUCCUUCACACUCUGCCUGCAGCAGGUGCUGGAAGGUGAGUGCCACACUCCUGAAAUGCCAUAAGGGCUGUCUGGAUCCUGUGGCAGGACUAAAAGAGCACUUCAGGGCAGAGGCAGCACCUCCAGGGGCUCUGGAGUAGCAGCCACCUCGUUUGCAUCAGCUGAGAACAGUCCCCUGGCCUUUCUCAGACAUGUGUGAGACCAGGAGCCCAGACAACGUGGGAAAACAGCCUGAAAUCUCAUCCUGAAUGUUUAGGUGGGAGAGUGUGGUCCUUCCCAGCUCCCAGUGAGACUGUGCUGGUCUCAGCAUGCCCAUUGUUUACUCUUGCCCUGGAAAUCAGAUCCUGGCCCAGCACCUGCGCUGCCAGCAGUGGCAAACCCAGGGAUGGUUCAGCCCUUUUAGCCAUAAAAAAUCUCCUCUUCUGGCUAGGGUUGGUCAUCUACCUGCUUGUUGCAUCCCCACCCCUGGUUAGAGGAGUUGUCUCCAUAGUAAGUUAAUGAAUGAUGGCCUAAGACACCUUUUCUGGAUGAAGGAGAAAAGGAGAUUUUUCCUUCCACACCCUUCUUUCCCAACUGCUCAGACAAAAAGACAAAAAGCUGCUUGGUCAGCCCCAGGUUAAAUGCAGGUGGAGAUCCAUACAGGAAUCCCUAGCCCUUUAGCUGGAGCUGGUUUUGUCCUUUUCUGGUGACUCCUUUCCCUUAUUUGUGCAGGCCCAGAUGUUUCUCAGAGAGCAGGGCUUUCCCUCUUUUCAUCUGGACCUGUCAAAUCCAUGGCAUGUGACAUCCCCUGGGGCAGGGAGCUGCACAGCAGACUCAGAGGGAAUGUUCAGCCACUCCAGCUGCUCCUGCUGGGCCAAAAUGCUUGAGCAGGGAGUUCCCUGCUGGGUCAGCUCCAGGCACUGGGGUCACCACAGCCCUGGUGAAGAGUGGCAGUGGGAAUUCCCACCUGGGACCUCUCCUUGGGCUGGGCCACAAAACCCAUCUGCCUCCAGCAUGAAAUACAAAAGGUCUGAGUAGGAGGGGAAUUGUUUCCAGCAGCAAGGAGCAUUUGGGAAUGUCCAGGCACUGCCACCACCAGUGGCAGGGUGCAGCAAGGCUUGGCAUGUGCUGAUGUGCAGCUUGGAGCAUCAGUGCUCCAGCACAAAGGGAUGGGGAGCAGAGCACAGCCUCGAGGGGAGAAAGAAGAGCAGCUCUGGAGAGUGGCAGAGUGAACUGGGCAGCCAGAGCAGGUGGAAGGCCUGUCCCACAGGUUGGAGGUGUAAACAAGCUGUUUGUUAUUGCUUUGUGUUGAGGCACAGCACUCCACAUUUCUGCUUUUAAUUUAGCUCCACUACUUGAAGUCUUAGAGCAGUAGUUUGAGGUUGGUUUUGUUUUGAUGGUGAGAGUUUUGAGAAGCACUUGAUCCCGAGUAUCCAUGUCUCUCUGUGCCCUCUCAGACCUCAUGGCAUACUGAGGUUCCUAGCUGCCUUUUUUCCUUCUACAUUCAACUCAGACAUGAGUUUUGUUUAUGAGUAACAGUGAAAAAUGACCCCACGCACAGAAAUCUUCGUGGUGCCUCCGACAGCAGUGAAAGAACAAAUUUCAAGGAUCAACAGCCUCUCCAAAUUCUCCUUUUGUAACAGACAUAACAGCAAAGUAAUCAUCAUUAGAACAGUAAUUUUAUUCCAGCAACCCUUAAACUCCUGCUGUGUCUCUGUAUUGCACUGUACUUUGUGCUGGGCUGACGGAAGGAGAGGCUGAUUCUCUUAACUAAGUUUCAGAAUAAUUGAAGGUCUUUUAAGAGAAAAACUUUGUUUUGAUAUAGGAAUUUCAAAGGUGAAUGGAAGCUUCAAAAGAGGCUCAGGGAAUGCAAAGAUAAUAGGAUUGAGUUCUUAGUGGUGGGUAGCUCUUGAGUUUAGAUUGUUUCCUGUGAAGAUACUGGUUCCUUCUUUCCACACCAAAAAUAUGUCAAAACAAGAAAUGUAAUUUGUUCAGUUCUCUUGGAUGCCAUAUGUAGCUGUCGUUUUCUUGAUUUAAUGUAUAAACAUGAGAAGGCAUCUUUGCCAUGAAAUUAUAUUAGCAAAACCUGCCUUUCUUCCAAGUACUCCUCUGAAAACUGGCUGUAUCUUUGGAAACCAGAACGACAGAGACCGUGUCACAAACGCACAGAGCCUCGUGAAACGCCUUUGGUCUUGUGUAAUUGUUAUACUGAGCUGUGAGACGCUGUCCUGUAGAGGUGGAAAACUCUGAGGAAUGAAAAGGAAACUGUAGAAAUGAAAAAAAAAAAAAAAAAAAAAAAAAAAAACCUUCUGUGUUGCUAUGGAUCCUAGAAGCUUAGAUCCCUGGCAGUCUGCUCGCCUUGCAAGCACUGCUCCUUCACACCCCUUUUGAUGAAGACAUUUGUACAGUUGUAGAAGAGCAGAAAACCAUCAAGAGGUUUUCUAAGUCAUCUCCAUGCCAGAUUGCUCAGCUGAUUUUAUUCCUGAGAGGAAGGUAGAAAUCCCAUAGUCUCCCCAGCAUACCUGCUUUAAGGCUUUCUGGCUUUGUGGUUAAAAGUAGAAUUCCAGGAUGGGGUGGGGAUAGAAUGUAAGGAAAUAGUGCUGAAGGCAGUCUCACCCCUGAGGAGUUGCAGCUGUAGUAAUCACCAAAGAGUAGGAACAGGCCUGCCCCUAAAAGGCCACAGCUGAGUCCAAUGAGAAGAAGAGUGCUACAAAAGAGUGGGUUAGCUGGGUGAGGGGAGAGUUGGACUUUGUUGGUUGUGCUGUGAAGAAGAAAGAGUCAUGGCUGUGAGCAGCUGCCCAUGAGAAAUCACCGAGAAGGUAUGGAACUUUUACAAUGAGAUGACAACACCAGAAUCUUUCUUUCUGUCUUUGUGGUUAAAAGUUUAAUUGCAGGAUCUUUCUUUCUGUCUUUGAUGUUCUGUGCCCAUUCCUGUUCUGUGCCCCUGUGAAGAAUCUCACUGGAGAUGUUUUUCUUAAUUUUGAUCUGCUGAAUCUAACCCAACCCAAACACACCUACAUUCAAGACAAGAUUUUGGAAUGUCUUAUGUGUGCCCGGCUAUUUGCAUAAACUAUGAGAUGAAUGUUAAAAAAAAGGCUAUAACAAGGACUCUGAUAAAGAUCCCACUGUCUGCUAUUUAACAUCUGCAUUUUAAUGAUGCAGAAGUAGAAAUCUUUUGCUUUAUUAAAAAUCAGCUGCCUGGUCACACAUGAAUGUGUGGCACAGCCAACUAUUUUGGCUCUAAUUUGUACAGGUUGAUCAAAAAAUAUUGGCAUACCUUGAUAUUUUUAGUAUUCUACACAAAGCUUUUCACCAGUGGUAUUGAUUUCAGAUUUUUUGCUUGUCUAGGGAAUGGGAAGAUUAAUGAAUAAACUCUGUUCUUUCAUAUUACAGUUGAGUCUAAUUAGAUGAUGGGAUUAACUAAUGUCAAGCAGCCACUGGAAUUGUGUUGCUCUGUCUUUGACAAGGGUAUUAAAAAAAACCCCAACAAAAAAAGCCAAUUUUCCUUCACAUCCAGGCAGAGAAGGGAGAAUGUGUUUUGCUGAGGACAAGAGGAAAAUGGUGGUGGGUGGGAAGAAUAGGAGGGGUGUGGGCAAUGAGAGGGGAUGUGAGUGAAGGAAGAGGCGUUUGGACAUGAGCCACUGUAAACCAGCUGACUUUUCCUUCAACAAUCCAUGGGUGAGAGACUGGAAGAUUUUAGAAACUCAGUAACAAUCAUACAAGUUGUUCAGUCAAGAGAAUAUUUAUGCUUUUAGGGAUCAGGACUUCAAGAUUCUUCUCUGUAUACUUAAAUACUGCAAAACUCUAAAUUCAUAAACCUAGGGAAAUGCGUUCCCUAAAAGCCCAUGCAGACAAUGGUAUCAGAAAUAACACAGACUGAGUAUUUUCCCCUGGAGAGAGAGACUUUUCUUCACUUCCAGCAUGUUUCUUUCCUGAAAUGUCAGCCUUUAUGCAAUACUCUGCUACUAGCCCACAUAUGAUCUUUUUUCUCUUAUGUUCUUCCAGUUUCAAUAAAUGCCACAAUGGAUUACUCGUGAAUUCAACCCAAAUGUUUACUUUUUAUUACUCUCUUUAUUUUUCCUCAGAGUUCAUUUUGGUGUAUUUAACAAGCAACAGAACAAGGGGAAGCAGCCUCAGGUUGUGCCAGGGGAAAUUUAGAUUGGAUAUUAGGAAAAUUCCUUCAUGGAAGGGGUUGCAAAGCACUGGAACAGACUGCCCGAGGCAGUGGUGGAGUCACACUGGAAGUGUUCAAAAAUAUCAUGAUCUGGGGACACGGUUUGAUGGUGAACAGGAUGGUGGUGCUGAGUUGAUGGCUGGACUUGAUGGUUUUAAAGGUCUUUUCCAAAUGGAACGAUUCUGUGAGUCAAUGGUUUGAUGCCUGAUGCAAAUCCCCCUGUGGGUGCCUCAGGGACCUUUGUUCUCCAGUGUGAGGAGCAGUGUGCUGGGAUGUGUGCUGUGAUCCUGGGCCCUUGGGCAUCCAGGGCUGUGGCUGCUCCAGUAGCUGCUCCUGCACCAGCCCUGGCCACAGAGGAGCUGCUGCUCCUGGCCCUGCCAUUCCUGCCCUGUUCCUUCACUUUUCUCCACUGCCCUGACCUCAGCAAAUCCACCCCUGGCUUUGUGUCAAGCUUGAGCAGUUUGAAACAAUUGCUCUUCUCUUCUUCCAGUUAAAAAUCAAUUCUGUCAAUGUUGGAGAACUUGAACUGUUUUCAAAACACCUUCAGAUUGUCUUGACCAACAACCCUGCUGUCAUCAGGUGUGCUCCUGGCCAGUGUCAGAGAGAUGAAAGCCAAACCAGUGCCUUGCAGCAUUCCCAGGUGUCUGCUGCACCUGUGUCAGAAAGGAAAUGGCCUUGUAGGAAUUAAAGGCCAAAUGUUGAGCUGGAGAGAUGUUACAGCAGCAAUGUCUGUCAGAGACCUCUGCUCUGGCCAUGGCAACUCAUCACAUGGGGGAACAAAAGCAGCACAUUCCUUUGGAUCUGCCUGCAGAGGUGUGGGUGUGGCAGGGAAUUUACCUGCAUCUUCUGUAAUUUUAAAAAAUAUUUUUGUAUUUUUAAAAAGAUUUAGCACAUUGGUGGGGAAACCUGCAUGAGUGACUCUACAGCCUGUGUUUAGAUAAGGCAUCAUUCUGAUGGCUCUGCCCCUGCUGCUGAACCUCUGGAUAUUCCUGUUUCCACCCAGGGAACUCCACUGCCACAGCAGGGCUUCAGCUCACUGCUGGGAAACAGCCAGGGUAGGAAGUACCAGUACUCUAAUGCUGGAAUUCUCCUUUGAAACAGCAGGAGAGAUGAUUAAUACCAAUCAAAAGCUUUGUGGGAGAAAACACUGUCAGAAUUGGGGGCAAGUUUUCAGGUGAUUACAGCGUAGAUGAUAAAAGUGCUGUGUGUUUAAAAGCCACUGUGUGUUCAGACUGCUCCAACACCUGUGGCUGAACCAGGCAUGACAUCCCUUUAGGAGAUCUGUUCCCAGGGCUGUACUCUGUCUGUAUUAAUCCUUUUGAAUAAAGCAGGAUGGCAUUGCUAAUACAUAUGCAGAUGGCAAAAGUGGAGUGCCUUUCAGAGCAGGUUAUGCAGCCAGCUGCAGCUCCUGUGGAUUGAUCCAGGUGAUAGUAAAUCUGUGUCCCUCUGAGGUGGAUCUCUUUGAGGGGAGCACACCCAGUUUUUGUACCUGAGGCUGCUCCUCUUACAUGGACAGGACAAAAAUUGCAACUCUGCCAUGCAGUACAAAAAGGAGGAAUUAUGUUUUGCAGUAAACCAGAAAAUAACAAGGCAUGAGUUUUGGUAAGACACUGGACAUAUGAAAGAAACUUCAUGGUAGCUGGUUCCCUAUUUCAGAUGGAAAAAAAGCCCACAAAGCAGCAAACCUUUCAGUCUAGAAAGACACUGAGACAAGUGCAGUGUUUUAGUGGCAAGGAAAAUUAAAUACUGCAUUAUUUUUCAUUUUUGUCUAGGGGUAGAUUCUCCAGAAUUGCUGCUGUCCAUUCAGAACAUCAGUCAGAAAAGAUGCAGGAUGACUUAUCUUGGGUAGGAAAGUGAGUUAGAUGGUGUAGCAAAGUCUCCCAACCCUACAGCUCUGUGAUACCACAGAUCCUCCAACACUAAAAUGCUACUGAUGCCAUUUUUUAACAGCAAAUGCACCUAAUUUGAUAAACUAAAACCAGAACAGAACACUUAAAAAGUGGUGUUCAAUAAGCCAAACCUUCAAGGCAGCGUUUCAAACACAUUUAUGAUGUGCAGAAAAUGCCUGAAACUCUUGCAGGAUUUCUAUUGACUGACUUUUACUGGACUUGUGCUAUUGACAGGAUUUCCAGAUGACAAACCUGAGUCUUUGUCCUGGAGCUGUGUGUCAGCAGUGGGCAAAUCACAACAGUUUGAGGAGCUUUGAGACAAACUACCAAAAGAAAUGAAAAAUGGAUACUUUCUGGCUGUGAAUUCUUAUUACCUUCAGAUCUGACUUCUCCAUAUUUCUUGUAAUUAAAAAUUUAAAGCCUAAUAUUAAAUUCCUAAAAAAAUCAUUAAUAAAGCCUAUUAAGCUGAGCUACAGUUUCCCAUGAGAUGUUGAGGCAGCCUUCAGUUGAUUUUUCCAAUUUCAUCAUUUUGUAUCCUUUCCAGAUUUGCUGCUUUUAAACUGAGGGGGUUUGGUUUGUUUGUGUCUCAGUGUAGGAGGGGGGUUAAUACCACAGCUGAACUUGAGAUUUCCAAAUAUGCCCAAGGAGUUGAAAAUAGCCCAGAGGGUUUCUUGGUAUGGACCUUGGAGCACCUCACAAACCAGGUUUUGUUUUUUCCAGCUCUGUGCAAAAACACUGUGGUGAAAAGCAACCACUGAAACCACCCCAGACUCAUUUUGUCCUUGUUUCCAGCCAAGGGACUAUUUCAGCUCCUGGGCUUAGACAUUCCAGCUCAAUUCAAGUCUCUGGAUGCUUAAACAGAGUGUCCAACAGAAUCACCAGGAAGAUGUAAGUUUAAUUGUUGAUUUUGAUAUAGAUUGUGGUGCUUCUGGCUUGUGACAGCUGUGUUUUGUUUGCCACUGGUGUGACAAAAUGAUGCCUCUGAAGUUUUUAUCUGCAGCAGAGCUGGAGAGGGUAAGAAAAAUAAAGGCUUUUUCCUAUCCCACAUUCUGCUUCCAAGUUGCUACAUACACCCUGGAUUUCAAAAUUUAGCGCUUUUUUCUCUCAUUUUUCUGUAAUUAAAUGUGGGCAGCAAUUUGAGGGAGGGGAUCCUGCCCCUGUGCCAUGUGCUCAGGUGAGACCCCACCUGCAGAGCUGCCCCAGCACAGGAGGGACCUGGAGCUGCUGGGGAGAGCCCAGGGCAGGCACCAGGAUGAGCAGAGGGAUGGAGCAGCUCUGCUGGGAGGAAAGGCUGGGAGAGCUGGGAUUGUUCACCUGGAGAGGAGAAGCUCUGGGGUGACCAAAUUGUGGCCUUGCAGGGCCUGAAGGAGCUACAGGAGAGAUGGAGAGAGAUUUUUGGACAAGGGCCUGGAGUGGCAGGACAAGGGGGAAUGGCUUCCCAGUGCCAGAGGGCAGGGAGGGAUGGGAUAUUGGGCAGGAAUUGUUCCCUGGCAGGGUGGGCAGGCCCUGGCACAGGGUGCCCAGAGCAGCUGGGGCUGCCCCUGGAUCCCUGGCAGUGCCCAAGGCCAGGCUGGACAGGGCUGGGAGCACCUGGGACAGUGGAAGGUGUCCCUGCCCAUGGCAGGGGGUGAUGAGCCUCAAAAGUUCCUUCUAACUCUAUGAUUCUAUGAAUGUAAUUUCAUUAAAUUAUUUGGGCUUCUACUAAGAUUUGCUUCAGUCUGACACCUCUGCUCUACCAGGCCCUCUCAGGCAGAUGUGCUGCUCAAAAUGCACCUUGCUUUUACUUCAUCCUUGGCAAAGGAUGAAGUAAAAGCAAGAAAAAAAGAAAGAAACUUAUUACUUCACGUGCCUGUAGUGGUGUUUCACUCAUGAAAAUCAUCGUUUUCUUCCCCUUUUCUCUUUGUAUGUGAUCCAGAAAUGACAUGCUUGCUUCAGAGGAAUGAAAGGGCUGUCAGCAUCCCUGAAAUGUGAAUCUCAGCUGUACCAAGACACCCCCUUGGUUAUGAAGGCAUCCAGAAUUCCAGAGAUUCCUUGGCAGUUUUGCUCUUUGACUCUCUGGAGAGCACCAGUGAAGGUGGAGCCUGGCAGGGGAGCCAGAAGGGACAUCCUGGCUCAGUCUGGGCACUUUGGUCCAUCCUUCCUGAGAAGUGCAGGAGCCCUUAGGAGGGAAGGGGAGAUGAGUGGGGAGGAGACAAAUGAAGAGAUUUCUGAGGGAAAGGGAGGAGGAAAUGAAUUUUGCAAGAAAGGAGGAGCAGUGUGGAGCACCCUAAGGGAAGAACUGCACUGGAGAGCAAGGAACUGUUCCAUGGGGAAGAGAAAAUACAAUAACCCAGUAAGAGAGCAGGUUCUGUGUGAAAGCAGUGGGGGAUGAGAGGAGGAGAAUGGGAAAUGGGACACAGAGAGAUUGGAGAGCACAGCCAAGACCAAGCCAAAGGAACAAGCAGAGGGGGAGAUCUCAAGCCACCCUCAGCUCCUGUGUGAUGAAUUCAAGUACAAGGGGGGAGAUUGCUGGGAGUUCUUCAGCAGAUGUGUGCUGGGGAGGGAGGAGAGCCCUUCUCAGCAGUUCUAGUACAUUAAUGCUCUUGUCUGCUCUUCAGAGACAUUUUAUGAGGGUGCAUCAGCUGCUCCUCCAGGAUGAAGAGUCAAUUCUGAAGGCUCUUUGCUACAUCCUUGGCCUGUGUUUUGGUCCCCAUAUGUUCCCCUUCCUAGUAAUAAGCUAAGGGAAUUAAUAGCAGACAAUAUUCUCUAUCUGAGGACCUUACUGAUGGAAUGGAGAGAGCUUAGGGCACUAAAACCCUGCAAAUACAGGGUCAGUUUAGUGAAUAGUGCAGGUGAAAAAGAGGUGCCAGGACCAGGCUUAAGGUGGGGAUUUUUUUAAAAGGUCAUUUGCAUUUUGAGAUCAACUUAAUAUUAAAAAAAAAAAUCAAACAACCACAAAAACCUGAAGAAUCCAAAGGUAGAUUAUUUGUGUUUAAAUUAGUAUUGUGAGACCAGCUGGGAAAGGUAGGCCAAAAAAAUAAACACCUAUCUAAAAAUAAAUACCCAAAUCCUGUGCCCUCCCAACACUCUUCUCAGGGUGUUAUCAAAGCUUCUCCAGCUAGAAUCCUCCAUUCUUUUUUGAUUUUUGUUUUAAUAUUUGCCUGUAUCAUUCUGCUGCUGUUUCCUGUCCUCAGCUCACCAGGCAUGCAGGCCACCCUCUCCUACCUGCUGGUAUUUGCUGUUCCACCCUGUGUGUGCCCUCCUCAAACUUUGUUUCUGUUCAUUUGGUUUUCCAGCCCCAAGUCCCUGUUGAUAACAGCUCUGUGGAGCCAGACAACAGCUCCUGCUCUGUGGAGUCUCAUGGUGCUUCCUCCUGGUGAGAGCAGCCUGAUGGUCAUCCAAGCCAUCUGCCUGAUGGCCAUGGGGAUAAUUUGUUUUCUAAUGAGUCCAGUGACUCACUCUGAAAGUGUGUCCUUGUCUGUUGGGGUGGGACUCUGCUUUGUGUUGCACUGGAGACCUUUACAAUGCUCUGUGAACAUGCUUUACACUCUUCAGGGCUCACUUCAGGAAAAAAAUGAACCCCCUGUGUCUAAAAAUUGGAGAGGGCCUGUUUUUCAUUUCCUGUCUCCAUGCCAAUCCAAAAACCUCCCAAAUAACUGCCUGCUGAAUACCCCUAAUAAUUUUCUUUUCUCAGCACUUGUACAAUAAUGUAAAAUACCAAAUGUGAAUCUUCUUUCUCCCUUUUCUCUGUCUUUUUUUCUCCCCCAUUUUGGACACGCUGUGUUCCUACCCCACGGAUCAUUCAUGUGUUGCUGCAGUGAAGAACAUGGAAAUAACAUGCAAGGUGUUUAUGGGCUGUGUUCCCCUUUCCUGACAGGCUGUUCUGAAUCAGGGUGAUAAUGAAUGAAUGACUCUCUGGAUUAAUGAUGUAGGGGGAGGCUUUGCUGCUCCUGAAGCCAAGGGAAGUAAUUCCAUUGACCUUUCAGUGCCAGGAUUUCACUCUAAGGAUUGAAUUGAAACUGAGUCUGGGUGUAGAGACUUGGACAUGGCUUUUAGGAUAAUGCCUGAGUGCCUAGAGUCUCUCCUCAGUGCUAACAGGCAGGGGAAAGAUGUCCUAGGUGCCAGCAGCAGUUUCCAGCACUGUCUCCAGUUUCCAGUGCUUUGUCCUCUAGAAUCCAUGUGGGUGUGUGUCCUAUCACUCAUUAAAUAAUUAUAUAUAUUUAUGUCUCCUACAGAAGUGUUCUUCACGUGUGUGCACAUCCACCUUAGCAAAUGCUGAAGCUUUUCAGCUCUCAAAGGUAUUUUUCUGCCUGGUGAGUUGAGUUGUUGGAAGUAGGAGUUGCUGAUGCGCCACUUAAAAUAUAUUUAAACUUGUACAAAGAAGGUUAUAUAAAAGAUCCUGCUGGAGAUGAGAAGGAAUUCUUUCUGAAGUAAUUUUGAGCUAGUAAUUGAUGGAGAGCUGGCUUCAAUAGCUCUCUUUUUGUGUUUUAGAGUUCAAAAGGAGAUUGUGUCAUCUCUUUAGCAGGUGUUGCAAGCAACUAAAUACUUUGUUUAAAUAUUUUGUGUAGUUAAGCAAAUAAAUUUUUGAACAGAUAGCUUCCAUUAACAAACUGAUUAGAAUAUCAAACGUGCACCCUGUUUCCAAGAGUCCUAAAAUAUCCAUAACCUAAAUUUUGAAGAUGUGAGUUUUCUUUUCUUUAUGUAACUGCAAUGAACCUGGAAGGUUUGGUGCUGAGCUGGUGAUCUGACCAUGAAAAAGGUGGAACUUCUUUGUGCUAAUGCUAAAAUUAGAAUUAGAAGAUUCUCUUUUAUUUUUUACAUUUGGUCAUUUCUGCUUUAUUGCAUCUGAGCACGUGGCAGUUGUGGUACUCCAGGACAUCCCCAGGCAUAUUUUAUUCUGGGAAGAUAAAAAUGAAGCUCUUGGCCAUUGCCUGAGGCUUUAGAGUUGAGGUGUCAGUCUUGGCAUUAGCAGGUUGAAGAGAUUUGGAAAGAAAAGAGUGGGGGAGGAUGCUCAAUAAUGAAUAUAAAGUAUAAGGAAAAUGUAUUGACAACAUUAGCAAAUAAAUCAAGCACUGAUGUAGGAGUUUCUAAGUCUGCUCAUUAAAUAUUUACAUUUUACACUCUCAAAAAUGGAAAAUAUGUUGACAUCUCAAUUUAUCUUUUUUGAACAAACUGUCAUACCUGGCAUGGUAUGAAAUUGAUGCCACAGAAUAAACUGGUCUGGGAAAGUCAAUUAUGUUUCUUGAAGGAGUGAAAUGACACUGAAAAAAUGUGUCUUUGGAGUCUGGUUUGGCUGGGCUUUAUAGCUUGACUGUUUUGUUUGUAUAGGAUGAUGGCAGCUUGUGGUAGAGCACAAAAAUCUUCCUGAACCUGGCUUCUGGAAAGUUCUUAACUGGUGUUUUCUGCCCUAACUCCAGUGGGCCAAAGGAUGGGUGUGAUGAACAUCAGCCAGGAAAGCCUGGGUUGUUUUCUUUCCUCUGCAUAUGGAAGUCAGCUGCAGGAGAUCUUGGUUGGGAAUUAGAAUUGGAAUUUAAGUAAUGGAAUUCAAUUUGGAAAUUUUUUUCCAAUUGUUUAGAUCCUUAAAUGCACAUAAGGUCGCAUUAAUAAAUUGUUCUAUAUUUGAGAAGGAAAAAUAAAAGAGAAUUAUUUAGACUGUUUUCAUAUUUUUAAAA